CCCGGAGGACCGCGCGGCGGCAGUCCGUGAACCCCGUCAGGACCGGAAGGUAGCAGCGGUAAUCGGGUACUGCCGGGCGAUGCGUCAUCCCCCGGACCG
rnacentral:SRP_RNA from 3 species